CCCCUAUCAUCAUGGGAUUUCUACUGUAUUCUUUCUAGUAGCUAGUGUAUAUUGAAACAGAUACUCCAACUACCUUUAUGGCAACAUUA